rnacentral:lncRNA from 1 species
UAAAAUCUAGAAUGUGUGCCCCUAAAUAUACCGAGAAUUAUUUAAAACUAUAUUGUAUUUUCCGAUCCUGGCCAAGUUACAUGAACGUUCAUUGGACACACGCAGGAAUCAGAGAUGGAUACCCUAGAAAGCCUUGCCAAGUUUAUGAGCCAAGAAAUAGCUGGAACUUCAAAGAGAAAGAAGAGUGAAAGACUUUCAUCUCUACUUUUUGCUCUCCUUUGCUAAACCUGCUGUACAGAAACGACCUUCAACUCAACAAUGUUCCCUCUCCCAGGAGACUUUGCUCUUCAAGCUAGAUCAAAGCUCAAGACAAACAAGACCCGUUGCCCUCUAAAUUUAGACAGUAGUGAGUAUUUUACCUCAGAUCUCAAUUAGGAAUUGCAUUUGACUGCUAGUAAUAGAGAUUAAAAAUAACAAUGGCUUACAUGGGUGAGUUUCUCUCCCAGAAGGGAAGUCCAGUGAAAG